rnacentral:tRNA from 1 species
GGCACUGUAGCUUAGUGGUUAAAGCGCCUGUCUCAUAAACAGACGAUUCCCAGUGCAAAUCUGGGCAGUGCCU